CCCAGGGCACAGGUGGCAAAUGCUAUGUGACAGCAGGUGGGAGGAUUCCUGCAGCGGUUCAAAUACAAAAAGCCCCCAGUGGUUCCAGUUUCACCGCUAGAACCAGGGAGGCAAGUGUGGGCAGGGGACAUGGCCGCCCCGUGUGGCUUCCACGGAUAAACCGGCAGGACGUGGCGUCCAGGGAGGGCUGGUGCCCAGGGAGUCUGCUUCGGAAGCGGGUGACAGCAGGUGUCCUCCUCUGGCUGAGGUGGAAUUUGGAGCCACAGGCCCAGGUGAGGGCUGUGGUUUCUCAAGACUUUUAUCCUGGUGGAUCCUAGGGAACCUUCAGAUUCAUUAACAGCACCAUCAAUUCUUAAGGAGAGAGCGGGAGGGCCAAGGGGGCCUUCCAGGUGAUCCUUCUCAUCAGCAGUGCCUCUAGGGUUUUGCGGACCGAGGGGAAGACAGGAUGGAAGCUCGGGGAUCAACCGCUACCAGCCCCAGGGCCCGAGGGAGGCAACCACGGGAAAACAAGGUUCUGUUGGCGUGGUGGGGUUCAGGCCCACGUGCUAGGAACGUGGCCCCAGAUGAAGGGCUCUCUGGGCCACAGCGGGCGGCUGACGAGGCCCCGGGAAGGCAGGCGGGUGUCCCGGGCCCACCCUGACCGCUCGGCCCCCGCAGGUUCAAGGCCGAGGCGCGGCGACGACAACGUCCCUUCACCUACCUGCCGUUCGGGGCGGGCCCCCGGAGCUGCCUCGGGGUGCGGCUGGGGCUGCUGGAGGUCAAGCUGACGCUGCUGCACGUCCUGCGUCGGUUCCGGUUCGAGGCCUGCGCCGAGACGCAGGUACCAUUGCCGCUAGAAUCCAAAUCCGCCCUAGGUCCAAAGAGUGGCAUCUACAUCAAGAUUGUCUCCCGCUGACAGUUAGUGUUAUGAGGACACUCCCAGAUUCAAAGAAAACCUUCCUGUGGAAAUUCAGAUUUGGGGGAAACAUCACUGAAGCAAUUGAAAGGGUGCCUGACAUGCAAAUAUAUAAGAGGUCUUUCCAUAACUUUUCCUAAAUGCUUAAUAAAUGUUUGUUGCACU
rnacentral:lncRNA from 1 species